UACGAAGGGGGCUAGCGUUGCUCGGAAUCACUGGGCGUAAAGGGUGCGUAGGCGGGUCUUUUAAGUCAGGGGUGAAAUCCUGGAGCUCAACUCCAGAACUGCCUUUGAUACUGAAGAUCUUGAGUUCGGGAGAGGUGAGUGGAACUGCGAGUGUAGAGGUGAAAUUCGUAGAUAUUCGCAAGAACACCAGUGGCGAAGGCGGCUCACUGGCCCGAUACUGACGCUGAGGCACGAAAAGCGUGGGGAGCAAACAGGG
rnacentral:rRNA from 1 species